UACGGAGGGGGCUAGCGUUGUUCGGAAUUACUGGGCGUAAAGCGCGCGUAGGCGGCUUUGUAAGUUAGAGGUGAAAGCCCGGAGCUUAACUCCGGAACUGCCUUUUAAGACUGCAUCGCUAGAAUCGUGGAGAGGUGAGUGGAAUUCCUAGUGUAGAGGUGAAAUUCGUAGAUAUUAGGAAGAACACCAGUGGCGAAGGCGGCUCACUGGUCCGGUACUGACGCUGAGGGUGCGAAAAGCGUGGGGGAGCAAACAGGG
rnacentral:rRNA from 1 species